AUGCUGAAUUAUGUUGGCCUUAUACUCAAGGAUCAGGUAUUCUCAGUACCGCACUGGCAUCAGAGUAUGCUGAUUGAAUGGUUUUUGCUUUGUCAAACUACUAAAGGGUGGUUUCAUCACAUCCCCUUACACCAGCCUGAAUUCCAAGUAAUUUUGGUCCAAGUUAUAUGUGAUUUUCUCUGCUCAGGGUAUCAACACACCCAACCUGAUAUCAUCUUCAGUUUGGAACAAGGAGAGGAACUGUGGAUGGUGCAGGCCCAGAUUCCACAUCAGGACCGGCCAGUGACCUGUGUGGAGCCUGCCUUUGUGAUACUCCACCGAGUCCUCUUGCUCUUCUCUCUGAGUUCAAAGUAAGAAUUUUUUGUUUGUUUUAAUAUUCUCAGUUUCCUUUUAAUAUUGCUUUUUUUGUCUAUGGUGCUGGAUGUAGAAUCCAGUGCCUUGUGCACACUUGGCAAGUAUUUUGCCACAUCUCCAGGAUGAGUACUGUAGCUUUUAAAAGACUUCUGUCUUAGUGCAUUUGUGCUGCUUUAACAAAGUACCACAUCACAGACUGAGUAAUUUCUCAAAGAGAACUUUAUUUCUUACAGUUCUGAAAUCUGGCAAGUCCAGUUAGGCUCCAUGUCUGAUGAGGGCCUGGUGUUUGCUUCUACGAUUGUGCCUUAUUGGUGCACCCUCCAGAGGGGAAGAACAGUGUGGGACAGAAAGAGUUGCCAAAAGAUUCCAAGCUCGCUUCCUCCAGUUCUUUCAUAAGGCACUACUGUAAUUCAUUCAGGAGAACAGAGGUCUCAUAGCUUAAUUCCUCCCCAAACGCACCACCUCUUAAUAUCACAGCAGUAAGGGUUAGAUUUCACCAUUAAUUUUUUUAAGUUUAAAAACUUUAUUACAAUGAACGACAUUGCCAUUAAGCCGACACUCCCACUCACUUUGAAUACACCCACCCCAUAGUUAUUGCACUUUCUGAAGCAGUUCUAGAAGUCCUCCUCCAUGAGUGUCUUUACAGAGUGUGAUAAAAAAUAUAGGGAAUGUUGCUGCUGAGUACCAGAAAGGCAGGCUCUUAAAACCAUUAUGGUGUUCCCCAUUCAACCUCAUUACCCCUAGGCCUAGUAUCACAUGACUGUUGGCUCUUCUCCAAAGUCAAAACGACCAUUAAGGACCAUGAAUUGAUUCAGUAUGUCAAGGCAACCAUGAGAGCACAACUAAAGUUACUCCUGAAAGAGGACUUCCUGAACUGCUUCAAAAAGUGACAAGAACAAUGGGAUAAGUGUGUUGAAGCAAGGAGGAGCAUUGUGAAGGGGACUGGUGUCACUGUGUCCCUCACUGUAAUAAAUGUUUUUAAAUUUAUUCACCAUAUUUUUUAUUACCCUGCAUACCUUAUCUAAAAUGUUUGAGACCUAAACUAUUUCAGAUUUGGGAUUUUUAUAGAUUUUGGAAUACUCGAAUAUACAUAAAAUGAGAUACCUUGGGUAAGAGACUCAAGUCUGAACAUGAAUUUUGUUUGUUUCAUAUGCACCUCUUUAAUAGCCUGAAGGUAAUUUUUAAAAUAUUUUUAGUGCAUCUACAUUUUGACUGAAAACAUCACAGGAAUCAGCUGUGGAAUUUUUGCAUUUACAGCAUCUUUUUGCUGCUCUUAAAGUUUGUGGACAUUUGGGAUUUGGGAUUUUCAUAUUAAGGAUACUCAACCUAUAUAUAAUUUAUUGACGUACUUACAAUCUUGUGCAGACAUCACCACUACUUCCAAAACCUUUACACCAUUCCAAACAAAAGUCUACAUCCAUUAAGAAUUACUUCCCAAUUUCCUUCUCCUCCGUAACUCUAACCUGUAUCUGUCUUUGUCCCUAUGAAUUUGCUUAUUUCAGGUACUUCAUGUAAGUGGAACCAAACGAUAUUUGUCUUUGUUUGGCUCAGCUCACUUUGCAUGUUUUCAAGGUUCAAAACUUCACUUUUUAUGAUUGAAUAAUAGUCCAUUGGCUAUAUAUGCUACAUUUUGUUUAGUUAUUUAUCUGUUAAUGGACAUUAGGGUUAUUUAUACCUUUUGGCUAUUGUGAAUAAUGCCUAUUAAUGCCUAUGUAUCUGUUCAAGUCUCUAUUUUCAAUUAUUUUGGAUAGAAUAUGGGAAUUUUAUAUUUAACUCUUAAAGGAAUUGCCUAUUUUCUAUACCAUUUUACAUUCUCAUCAGCAAUAUAUAAGGGUUCUAAUUUUUUUAUCUUCUUAACAGUUGUUACUAUUUAUUUAUUUAUUUAUUUAUUUUUAAAAUUAAGCCUAGCACGCAGGAGGUUGAGGCAGGAGGAUUGCUAUGAGUUCAAGACCAGCCUGGGCUACAAAGUGAGGCCAUCCUAAACUGCACGGUGAGACCUUGUCUCAAAAGAAAAAAAAAGUUAAGUUUAUUGGUACAAUUUAGAUAUACAUAACAAUCAUAUUCAUCAUAGGGAAUUUGUACCUGUACAUGAUAUAUCCAGCUUCUGUUUUCCUGUCCCCUUCCCCUCCCUUUAGCCCCUUUUCCUCUCCUUAUUUACAAAGGUUUGUUUCCAUUUUAUUCUUCCUUUCUCUUUUUCUCUUCCCUCCCUCCUUUCCCCCUUCUUCCUCCCUAGUUCCCCUUUCCUUUUGAAUAAUUUCUUCCUAUUUCAUAGUAUCUGUUGUACAUUUUAGUUCUUAUUUACACUCUCAGUUUCUCACAUGAGACUAUGUGAUAUUUACACGUGUGUGUCUGAUUUAUUUCACUUAGGAAUAUGGUUUCAAGAUCCAUCCCUCUACCUAGAAAUGUCUCAGGUUUAUCCUUCUUUAUAACUGAGUAGUACUCCAUUGUAUAGAAAAACCCUCAUCCUUGUUAUCUACUCAUCAGUUGAUGGCCAUUUGGGUUUCCAAGAUUUAGCUAUUACAAACUGUGCUGCUAUAUGAACAUGGGUGCACAUAUAUUGCUGUGGUAUGAUGCUUUUAAUUCUUUCAGGCACAUACAAAGAAGGGGAAUAGCUGGAUCAAAUGGAACCUCUAGUCCUAGUUACUUGAGGAUUCUCCACACUGAUUCCCACAGUGGUUGCUCCAGUCUAUAUUCACACCGAAGUGGAGAAGUGUUCCUUUUCCCCUACAACCCUG
rnacentral:lncRNA from 1 species